CUUGGUGGUGAGGAGGCUGGAGUUGGCCUCGGGGUGAAGCAGAGAGACCAGCUAAGAGGGCGCUGCCCAGUAAUCCUGGUGACAGAUGGUGGGCCCUGUGGGUGAAGUCUGUGUGCGCUUCUUGUCCUGCAGAGGGAACAAGCAGGACGAGGAGGAGAACCAGGUGUCAGCGUGAAGAAAAUGAGAGCGCUGGGGAGAACGAAGGCAGGCUGUUUCCUUCAGGUUCUGAUUGGUUAAGCACCAAGAGGAAUGAUCAUGACUCACAAUGUGGUCCAGAACCUAGUAAUCACAUCUAUUUACAGAAUCCAAGCACUGGCCACAACCACGUGGGUUACUCCGUGUUCAGAGCUGAAUACGGUCCACUGGACAACGGACAGUGAUUGUGGCCUCAAGAUCCAAUCACUCAGAGAGAGGUGCGAGGGAACUCAGCUCCAGGUUUUUCUUGGUUGUGCUCUCUUCCUGAAGCCCUCUGUGGUGUCAGCCAGUCAUGGAUAAACGAGACUCUGAAGUGAAGCCCAGCACCCCGACACUGCGCAUCAGGAGGAAGGCAGAUGAAUACCUAAAACCCACCCUGGUCUACAAAAACGUGCUGAGCUUUUUACUCGGUAGGCAGCUAGGGGGGCACAAAAACGAUGUGCAUCUGUCACGGUGGCUGUGGAUGUUGACACAAACCACACCAGAGUGGAGCUGGCCUUUGCCAAAAAGUCCUGUGGGUAACCCACCUGUUCUCCUUGGGGAUUAUGAAAAAUCCCAGAAAAUGAUGUGGAUCAACAAAUCCUUCCCCUGAUAGAAGCAUUAAAAUUGAAGCUAUGUUUUCACGUC
rnacentral:lncRNA from 1 species